rnacentral:rRNA from 1 species
GACGAACGCUGGCGGCGUGCCUAAUACACGCAAGUAGAGCGCUGAAGAAAGGAGCUUGCUUCUUUUGGAUGAGUUGCGAACGGGUGAGUAACGCGUAGGUAACCUGCCUUGUAGCGGGGGAUAACUAUUGGAAACGAUAGCUAAUACCGCAUAGCAGCUUUUGACACAUGUUAGAAGCUUGAAAGAUGCAAUUGCAUCGCUACGAGAUGGACCUGCGUUGUAUUAGCUAGUAGGUAGGGUAACGGCCUACCUAGGCGACGAUACAUAGCCGACCGGAGAGGGUGAUCGGCCACACUGGGACAGAGACACGGCCCAGACUCCUACGGGAGGCAGCAGUAGGGAAUCUUCGGCAAUGGGGGCAACCCUGACCGAGCAACGCCGCGUGAGUGAAGAAGGUUUUCGGAUCGUAAAGCUCUGUUGUAAGAGAAGAACGUGUGUGAGAGUGGAAAGUUCACACAGUGACGGUAACUUACCAGAAAGGGACGGCUAACUACGUGCCAGCCGCCGCGGUAA